UAGGAUUCCCUUAGUAGCGGCGAGCGAACAGGGAAAAGCCCAGCACCGAAUCCCGUGGCCGAUACCGGACACUGGGAAAUGUGGUGUUUAGGAGGGUCCAUUAUCCCAAGAUUUUGCAAUGAGUCCAAGUCCUUCUUGAACGGGGCCACAACCCAUAGAGGGUGCCAGGCCCGUAGUGACCAUUGCUAAUUUUGGGAGGAUCUCUCCUUAGAGUCGGGUUGCUUGAGAGUGCAGCCCUAAGUGGGUGGUAAACUCCAUCUAAGGCUAAAUAUGACCACGAGACCGAUAGCGAACAAGUACCGUGAGGGAAAGUUGAAAAGAACUUUGAAGAGAGAGUUCAAUAGUACGUGAAACCGUUCAGGGGUAAACCUGAGAAGCCCGAAAGGUCGACAGGGGAGAUUCAGCGUUACUCAAUUUUGGCGGUAAGUUAUCGUGUGACAAAUAAUGUACGCAUUGUUUGCAUCGUUAAUUUAUCCGAACCAAAGUCGAAAGCGUGCACUUCUCCCCCAGUAGGACGUCGUGAUCCGUUGGGUGUCGGUCUAAGGCCCAUGGUGGAGCCCGUCUGGACGGUAACCCCGUUUUUCCGGACGAACCCAUGGUGUUUCCCGACCGACUCGCUCGACGGUAUAUAGAUGGCGCAAGGCCGCUAAUUUCAAAAAAAUUAGCGUCUGGCCUGUAGCAAGCGCGUUCGUCUGUUGGCAAUCGGACCUAGUGCCGAUUCUGACAACGAAUGGCUGUUGGCUGCAUGUGUCUCAGACAGACCUUGUUAUGAAACGCUGAUCUACGACGCUAUAGCUUUGGGUACUUUCAGGACCCGUCUUGAAACACGGACCAAGGAGUCUAGCAUGUACGCAAGUCAUUGGGAUAUGACUAAACCUAAAGGCAUAAUGAAAGUAAAAGUUCAUCUUGCAUGAACUAAGGGAAGAUGAGUUUAAAUUACGAUUUUUAUUCCGCACUCCCGGGGCGUCUCAUUCUCAUUGCGAGAAGAGGCGCACCAAGAGCGUACACGCUGGGACCCGAAAGAUGGUGAACUAUGCCUGGUCAGGACGAAGUCAGGGGAAACCCUGAUGGAGGUCCGUAGCGAUUCUGACGUGCAAAUCGAUCGUCGGAACUGGGUAUAGGGGCGAAAGACUAAUCGAACCAUCUAGUAGCUGGUUCCCUCCGAAGUUUCCCUCAGGAUAGCUGGCGCUCAUUGCGUACGAGUUUCAUCCGGUAAAGCGAAUGAUUAGAGGCAUUGGGGUCGAAACGGCCUCAACCUAUUCUCAAACUUUAAAUGGGUGAGAUCUCCGGCUUGCUCGAACUUAUGAAGCCGCGAGACUCGAAUCAGAG
rnacentral:rRNA from 1 species